AGACAGAUAGAUAGAUAGACAGACAGACAGACAGACAUAUAGAUAGAUAGAUAGAUAGAUAGAUAGAUAGAUAGAUAGAUAGAUAGAUAGAUAGAUAGAUAGAUAGAUAGAAAUACAUUUUAAAUAGUGUAAUUGGCUCCACAAGCCAAUGAAAAUUAAUUUUCAUAUUAGAGAGAGGAGUCAGGGGAAAACAUUAUUCUGUCCGAUUUGGCCGCACAUAUAAAGUAGCCUAAAUGAAAACAAAGUUUCUUUCAUUUUAUGACGUAGAUUAAAGGUAAUUUCACUCCCUAAAGCAUUGUGCAAUGGUAUUAUGUGUUCCCAUUCUCUCUCUCUCUCUCUCUCUCUCUCUCUCUCUCUCUCUCUCUCUCGCUCUCUCUCUCUCUCUGAUGUGUAUUUGAUCUGUGCAGUGGUCGUGAACGCGCACCGCCAGACCUCCGCUGCCGCUGCGUGCGCGUCCCCGCGCUCCCUCAGGUGAAUGGAGAGAGGGAGCGGAGUCCUGCGUGCGUCUGCAGCCGAGCUCAAGUGACUAAAAUGGGGCUUCGCGGACCGAGCAGCUCGGGGGUGAUCCUGACAGUCAGCCUUCUGUGGGUGACUGGAUGCUUCACCCAAAAAGUUUACUUUGAUUGUGGAGCCAAGGUGGAUGUUGUGGAUGUGCAGGGCCUCAUUCUGUCCCCUGGCUUCCCAUAUAACUAUUCAUCUGGAACUCACUGUGUGUGGCAGUUCUUUGUACCUGUUGGUCACCAGCUAAUCAUGGAGAUGUUUGAUUUUGAUGUCUUUGAGAGUCACGACAGUGCUGUUGUGGACGAGGUACCGAAUGAUGGUGGCGCGCUGAUAUCGAAAAGCCUCGGAAGUCCAAAAGAACCCCAGUCCACACUCCGAGAGGACGUCAAGCAAGUGGUGAUCCAAGAACAGUCCACCAAAAUGGAGAUGACCAAAGUUUCCAAUUCUGCCAAAAUGCUUUCCGAUCCCCCCUCGGCUCCACAAGCAUCUCUUCCAGUUGAAAACAGAAAUUCUGUUUCAUCUCAGGCAUCAAGAGCAGCCAUUGACUUUAUCAUUUCAAGCCCACGAACGGCCACAGAAACGGGUGACGCUGUGAGCCCUGAGACCCAGGCACCUUUGAUCGAUGCCUGUCCCAACGAUGUUCUCUACAUAUCAGAUCUCAUCACCUUCUCCUCCCGAUUCUGCGGCUCUAGACGGCCUUCUAGCAGCCAGUUAGUGUUUGGAUCUGAUGAUGACAUGGUUGAGGUCAUUAUGGAGUUGAUUACCACUACCCACUGGGGCCGUGGUUUCGCUCUCCUUUUCCAUUAUCAGAAUCAAACUCAGACCGCCACAAGCGAACAUCAGAGAUCACUACUGACCUCCGACAGCAGAACUGGUGUUGUACUGCUCGGUGCUGUAAGUGGGACAGUUGUAUUUGCUGUGGCCCUUGCUGGCAUCCUCUGUGUGAUUUUCAGGCCGAAACUGUGCGCAAAAGGAGCCAAUGCUUCCUCUUCCAUCAGCUCAGAGGUUCCAGAAGGAGUGCUAAAUUCAGCGGCUGAUGUGAGUGAACUGCAGAUGGUUUCUCCCAGUCACUUGGAGCAGCAGCCGGGAGCAGUGAACGACAACAACAACCGUUCCCUCAACCACAGCCUGGCCCAUACAGGGUCUUCAGUGAAGGGAGCAUGUGACACGUCAGAGAAGGCCGCUCUAGAGCAGUUCUCCAGUGGUCUGACUGAAUUAGAAUUAGGCACAGAUGAGGUUUUCGUCAUCGCCUCUGCACCCAUCUCAGCCCAUCUGCCCUUCUCUCCACAUACUCAACGAGAGCGUUUUCUGAGGCACAGUGACACGGGACCCAGCCGUCCCUUCGACUGGCCGACUCCAGAUCAAGCGCUGCCUUCUAUGACAAAGAGCAGCCAGGCCGGAUCGACAAACAGCACGCGACCACGAGCAUGGAGUGUCCGAACCUUCCAGGAUCUCCUUCCUCCUCUUCCUCAACUCCAUAAGAAAUGGUGCAGCUGGAACUCUACCAGCCCAUUCACCAAGCUGGUGGACAGUGGACUCCCAAGCACUCCUACAGAUUCUGGAAGGGGAAAGGUCCUAUCUGAUGCUCCUCUUCACAGUCCUGCCGACAGCUGCCAGUCCGACUCCUUCACAAGUAACGCCUCUUACCCCCUGACUCAACCCACCCAGCGCCAGCGACGCCUCAACUCCACCAGCAACCUCAGACGCUCACGGUUCAACGCUCCCUGCUUCGGCUUGCUCGAGUCCUCCAAAGCACAAGCCAAUGGACUUACGACCCCAAACACGCUCUCAGAUACCAGCCAGCUGCAGGUCAAAGGUCAAAUAUCAAGCCUUGCGGAUGACCACGUCACUGUACCAGUGUUUGCCAUCUCAGAAGAGGAAGACCGACAACCUCUAGUCUCAGAAGAGCAUCCCGAGAAGCCUUCGCGGAUGAACGGACAGAUGUUUGAAGGCACAAAGAUGCCGCUGUUAUCAAAAAGCCAGGCUCCCAGCAUCCACCCGAGCUCUUUAGCGAGGGGAGGCCGUGGUGGCGCGUCGGGGACGCAGGAUCCUUCAGCUCUCUCUUGUUAA
ensembl:lncRNA